GGCCACUGCCUUGAUCAACAUUCCUGAAACUUGGAGUUAGAAGCCAUAAUGAGGAGGAAGAGGAAGGAGAGCCUUUGCAGAUGGAAUCAAUGCAGAAUCUUAUUUACAGUAAUCAGCGUAUAGGGAACAAAUGAUUAUCACCCAAGGAGUCUACAACAUCCACAGAGGGCCUUUGGGGGAAGCCAGUUCUUGUUUUGAAAGCACUUUGAAGAUGAAAAGGUGUCCAACCCUCCAGAGACUUGAGCUAAGAAAUAUCAGGGUUUCCAUAAAUAUUGAAGAGAUGAAUGCAUGCAAGAAGGGAUGAAUGAGCAAAUAAGCAUGCACACGAGAUCUGGGGUCCACAAUUCACAGGGUGCUGAAAAGGUACAAAUUCACUAGGGAGCCUGGGCUUUGAAGUGACGCGAGCUCACAGUACCUGAAACUCAGUGGGAAUCUGUUGUGGAACUACAAGUUUCUCCCAAAAAGGUAUGUUGAAGUCCUAAUGCCCAGUACCUCAGAAUGGAACUUAUUGGGAAAUAAGGUUGUUACUG
ensembl:lincRNA